CAGCACACCUAAACCACAAAAUGACAGUAUGGAAACAACAAAUUAGUGUACAUGUGUAUAAAUAUAGGUUCGAAAGUAUUUAUGUAUUGUGUCAUUGAUUCACACUGAGGCAAGCUGAACAAUUGUCAAAUCUUAUACAAGGAACUGACCAAGAUACCAUAGUAAAUCUAUUGCAUACAAAAAAAAACAAUGAAGCUAUAUCAGAAAGUCGUUGUUUUAAUUGUAAUUUUUGCCUUCUGUGGUGAUGUCGGCAAUCUUAUAAAUUCGGUAUGGACUGGACAAGAAAUGGUAUCACAAAACUCCGCUGUCCUGUUGCCCGGAGCACAUGCAAUUUGGGGACACGUGGCAAGGGCAGUGGUAAGGGGUUUGUCAAAAAGAGGAAAGAAAAAGGGAGGUAGCGAACAUACAAAAGGCAAGAGACCGAGCACCAAAGGUAAACAUCAGAAAGGACAAAGCAGAAAACAAAAAGACCAAGACCGGGCAAGUGGAAAGAAACAAAAAGGGGGAAAAGAUGGGAGCAAGAAGAGGGGAUGAAAAUAUUAAGAUGAUAUUCUGUAACAUGUGUCAUUCCCUUUUUUAUAAAGGAUACACACCGAGUGUUUAGGAGACUGUUCUAGAGUUCAACUAGUAUGGUGUCAUUUCAGCUUAAAUUGUGACAGUUUGCAAAAGUAUGGAAAUGUGAUCAUUAACAGAAUGUAAAGAUAGUAGAAGUGUCAAAAAUAAAAGAAAAAUGAAUUAUUUGCCUA